UACCUCAAAUCAUAUGAGAUGUGCUGUUACUUUUAUAAACAACUAGACGAUUUGUACCUGAUUGAUGGAAACAAGCCUUAAGCUUAUAUAGUCUAUGAUGUUUGUGCCAUAAGCAGGAACACAUGGAAGAGUAAAUGAUUUCUCAGGAGAGGACACAGUAGCUCAAGGGUCAAAAGCCACACGAGUAAAAGAGAUGGAUUGGGUUUGGUGCCAGAGAUGAACCUCUUAUUUCUCGGCUGGGAUCGUGUAGAGACCUUUGAAGCUGCAUUGAAACUACAAUUUUGGACCUUCAACCCAUUGAUCCCCAUUGAAGUCCACUAUGUGGAGACAAAUCCUGGAAUGCUUUCCUCAAAAACCUUAAUUUCUUUUCAACUGAAGAAAGAAAGACAUGAACAUCUUGGAUGACAUGGGGAUGAGCAGCAGGCACUAAUGACUCUCUGGAGAUGCGCAGAGACCUUGAGGAAUCGGUCAAGGUCAAGCCCUGACGAGGUUGAGAUGAAGAGAUAACCAACACAUAACAGAAGGAGACAGUUUGGCAGAGAAGGUGGAAGAACAGUGGAACAGAAAUCAAAUCCCCCAGUCUAAUGCAUUUUACAUGAGACUGUCAGAAAUACAAGCACUAGGCAAGCAUUUUUCUUUUUACAUCCUUUGCAUGGUAAGCAGGCAAAAACAGUCAUGCGCCUAUAGGGUCAUUCUAUCAGUAAAAACCCCAUUUAUUAUCUCCAUAAAGAAAUUGAUGUAAAAGAUAAUAUAUACACCUUUCAACACAUUAUUUUCACUUCUGCAGAAGCCAGAAGUAAGUGUGA